UACGUAGGUGGCAAGCGUUGUCCGGAUUUAUUGGGUUUAAAGGGUGCGUAGGCGGUCUUAUAAGUCAGUGCUGAAAUAUCCCGGCUUAACCGGGAGGGUGGCAUUGAUACUGUAGGACUUGAGUAGAGUUGAGGUUGGCGGAAUUGACGGUGUAGCGGUGAAAUGCUUAGACAUCGUCAAGAACACCGAUAGUGAAGACAGCUAACUAAGCUCAAACUGACGCUGAGGCACGAAAGUGUGGGGAUCAAACAGG
rnacentral:rRNA from 1 species